rnacentral:lncRNA from 1 species
AGCUUGUAACUGAGUUUUAAACUAACUUGUAGAAAAUGGAGAAUAAGCCUGAACAUUUCCAUCAGGGGCUUUGGUGGCCACUGAUUCAGAUCUGCGGGUGGGGAGAGUGGUCAAGCCACCUCACAAUGGGGUCUGAGGUCACAGAGACUCAGAGGAGCAAAAGGUGCUCAGAGGCAAACCGAGUUCACUGAGACGGAGGCAGGGCACUACACUUACGGAGCA